GAAGAGACAAACACUCAUCUAUAAUGAGUACAUAGUAUGUAGAAAUCCCACAUCUCUUAAGAGGGAGUGUUUAUGCCAUAUCAUUUCUAUAACCUGGCACCCAGAACAUAUUAGGUAUCUGAGGCCCUGCCACCCAUUCCUAAGGAAAAAAAACACACUUGACUUUGCUAAAAUCAACAAAUCUGUGUGUUUGUAACUCCAGUGCAAUCUGAUGCACCCCAAGAGACAACCAUAGCAGCCCAGACUUCAGCGGCAGCCCAGGACACUUCGGUGGCACCCGAGGAGCCAACCACCGAGCAAAGAAAAAAUCUCCUGGAAUCCGUGAUAGAGAAAGGUAUCUCGGACGUAAUCAAUGUCAUUGAAAGCUUAAAAAAAAGGGUGGACGAUAGAAUUGAAAACAGAAGAAGACAACUUAAAAACCUACUGGGAAGAAAAUGAAUCUAAGAUUUUUCCCUUGAGAAGCUGUAAAGAAUGGGAUCUGGGAACUUAACGCCUUAAUCAUGUGUACGGCUCAGAGCAAUUAAAUUGAAAGCAUUCAA